rnacentral:rRNA from 1 species
UACAGAGGGUGCGAGCGUUGUCCGGAAUCACUGGGCGUAAAGGGCGCGUAGGCGGCUCGGUCAGCGUGCGGUGAAAGUCAGGGGCUCAACCCCUGAUCGGCCGUGCGAACUGGGGAGCUUGAGCACUGUAGAGGCAGGCGGAAUUCCGGGUGUAGCGGUGGAAUGCGUAGAGAUCCGGAAGAACACCGGUGGCGAAGGCGGCCUGCUGGGCAGUUUUGCUGACACUGGAGGCGCGACAGCGUGGGGAGCAAACAGG